rnacentral:tmRNA from 1 species
GGGGGUGCACUGGUUUCGACGGGGAUGGACGAAGGUAUGGUAAGCGAGCCGCGGCCCCUGACCGCGUUAAAACGGGGACAUAAAUUAACUGACAACAAUCAGAAUUACGCUUUCGCAGCCUAAGGGCUGAGAACGUCGGCCCCAAGCGCUCACGGCUCGGGAUCGCCGGCGCCAUUGAUGUGAGGAACAGGUUCGUCAAAGCUUUGAGGCGACACCGGUAAAAUGAAGCUACCAACUCAGGAAGCCCGCCCGCAGGCGGCCUGACGCGGGAAUGCAAAUUGCGGACUCCGCUCGGAGAAAACCCUAUCAUCGUGUCUUCGGACAGGGGUUCAAUUCCCCUCACCUCCACCA